GAUGAAGAACGUAGCGAAAUGCGAUAAGUAGUGUGAAUUGCAGAAUUCAGUGAAUCAUCGAAUCUUUGAACGCACAUUGCGCCCUUUGGUAUUCCUUAGGGCAUGCCUGUUCGAGCGUCAUUUAAACCUUCAAGCUCAGCUUGGUGUUGGGUGACUGUCCGCUUCACCGCGGACUCGCCUCAAAAUUAUUGGCGGCCGGUACAUUGGCUUCGAGCGCAGCAGAAACGCGAACUCGGGCCCGUCGUAUUGGCUCCCAGAAGCUAUCUUCACAGUUUUGACCUCGGAUCAGGUAGGGAUACCCGCUGAACUUAAGCAUAUCAAUAAGCGGAGGA
rnacentral:misc_RNA from 1 species